rnacentral:ncRNA from 1 species
AAAUAUUGUCAAGCGCCAGAACAGUUAUUAUAGUGAUAUUUUAUUUUAAUUGUUGACGAGGAUUGGGAUUAUCGAAAAUUCGGCGGGUGUCCCAAAGGCAUGUGACUGUCUAAAAAUAUAUAACAAAGAAGACUUGAUUUAAAAAAAGUUCCGGUCUUACAAAAAGUAUAUUAUGUCGCUCU